rnacentral:rRNA from 2 species
AAACUUUUAAUAGUUACAACUUUCAACAACGGAUCUCUUGGUUCUGGCAUCGAUGAAGAACGCAGCGAAAUGCGAUAAGUAGUGUGAAUUGCAGAAUUCAGUGAAUCAUCGAAUCUUUGAACGCACAUUGCGCCCCUUGGUAUUCCAUGGGGCAUGCCUGUUCGAGCGUCAUUU